GUAUUGCGCCUUCGCUCUUAACUAGUUCAGUCAUUGCGACUCGAGUUUUGCUCAUUUUCUACGAACGAUGGUGAGAGCACAUUGGUGGUCAGAGUCGAAGGAAGAGUUCACAAAAUGAAAAGGUCAUAGAAAGCUUAACCUCCUCCUUCCGCCCGUUCCUAUCUUCACGACUCAGUCGAAUAUUCUGCAAUGUUAGUUAGACACAGUGAAUUCCAAGAUGUGGUUCGGAACUGAACGAACCAGUGUAAAAGACGCGAAUGAUUUCAUUUGUAUCACAUUUAAGUCCUUUGAUACCAAAUAAGUUAAGCCUGCUGUUUUUGAAUUUUUGAAAGCAAAUAAUUUUGGCUUCCUCUGACGGUAGAGGUAAACUUAUAAACAUUUUACCAAGUUUAUCGAUAAAAUUCCAAGUUAAGCACAUGACUUCGAAAUUAUCACACUUGCUUAGUCAGGGCUCAACAUGACACGUACAUUUCCCUUUUUAAACAGAUGAGAGGUAAACAAAACUUUCCAGAAUUUCGAUAACUUAAAUGUUGUUUCAAUCCUCGAUGAGAACGUUUCAAUUCAUUCCUUUCAUGUUAUCAGAAAGUGUUUUUUUUUAAUGUUAGGAAAUGUGUUUAUUGAAGAAACGUUUCGACUUCAAGAGAAUAUUCUCUUAUCGAGUAACAAUGACGCAAAUGAACAAGCCCAUCAAACAUUUCGAAAAAAAAGAAUUUCGAUCAAACCACUGAUCAAACUAUGACGUUUUAUUUUUAAAAUGAUUUCAAAGUUUUUCUUUUUUUAAAAUAGACUUUGGUCCUUUUCUCGUUUCAAAAAGUAAAAAUAAAAUUAAUUUCAAGUUUUCACCUUUCUUUACCGCAUAUUGAGGCCAGUUUGAAAACAUUUCUUUGUAAAGUUUUUAUUUAGAUUUUUUUCUUUCCCUUAGUUGAAGCAAAAAAUUAGCCUUGGUUAAUAAUUUGACAGACGGGCUCGCCAAGAAUUGACCGUAAACAGGUUCUAUUGCGAAAUUCAACGAAUCACAACACUUGUUCCCGCCCUUGCUGUAGACAUUUUUAAUAAAAUAAAGGCUGAAAAGCAGUCCUUAAUUCCCCAGAGCGCAGUGAGGGAGCUAUUCGCUUACUUAAGUAAACAGGCUUUCUCAAAUAAAAGUGUUUUCAGACGCGAGUGUCAUUAAACCAAAACUUAAUCAAUUACAUCGGUCAAUCAAAUGAAAGGGAAACAUCACGAACAGGCAAUGAGGACUCUGAAUAAAAAAUUCGCAGACUGCUUCACGCACUGAAAACGUGGGUGAGCAAGUAGCGAUUUCUUUCAGUUUUGAGUCUGCUUGUUGGGGAAUGUGGCGUGAAUUUUGUGGAAUAAUCACCUGACGCACAGUGAAUCAAGGCAAAUGCAAUUCUUGAUUAUAUUCGACACUUGAUCGAAAAUUUCCCUCCUUAGACGAUUGUCGCUCGCUAAUUACUUCCGAAAAAAUAUAGACGCUGACUCCAGAAAAACUUAAAGAUUUAGGAGCUAGAUUUUCCAGCAGGAUGUUCUGAAUGUUCUUUUUUUUAAGAGUGUCUCCUCAUAGAGGUUAUUCGAAAUCAAAGGCAAACAGUUUCUAAAACGAUUAUUAUACAAAUCUACCACGAACUUAAAUAAUUGAAAUUUGAAAAGAAACUUUACAUAAUAUGGGGGUGUAAAGGCUUAGUCUGGCAACAUGAUAUACCUAAAAACAAAAGAGUUAGUUCUGACGAACAGUUAUUUUCACCUCCGCAAGCUUGUUUAGCUUUCGAUCGAGUGGUCCUGGGCAUGAGACCUGAGUAAUCUUCGUCCGCCUUGUGUGCCACAGCCAGGCACCUGAUCUUUGGCAGAAUGCGAUGAGUCGGGGUAAUGUAGAGUAAUUAAUUAAACUAUUUUAGAUUUUGUCUUCCGGCUGCAUCAUCCGAGUAACUUGGGUUAGAUUUGCUCCAGUGACUUGCCUGGGAAAAUCUAGAUAGCAACGAUAGCUAACACAUCAUUUAGUUUAACAAUAACGCAAAAACAACAAAAUCAACCGAAAAACCAAACAUCUACAACUGAUCUUUGAUAUUUCUUUUUCGAACAUGAGGAGGUACUCUUAUCCACUUCAGGAAAAAAAAAAAAAAAAAAAAAAAAAAAAAAAAAAACGCUGACGAAUUAACCGAUACGACCAUACAGGGCAAAUAUUUAUCAAUCACUUCUCAGAUACACCGGAAAAGCGUUUAAUAUCACUCGCCAAACAUCAGUGAAAGACCGUGACCUGUUUGAGUUUGACAUUUCACCAAGAGUAGCUAAUUUCUUACUUCCUUAGUUCAAUUAAACCUCAAAGUCUCGGAGAAUGAAGUGUCUUAUUUCCUCCAUGGGAACUAACGGGCUGGAAAAAUUGGAAAAUAUUUUCAAUUCCACGACCAAUACGUCGUCAUUUUGGAAUUUUCUUGCCAAUACAUGAGACCGUGUUUAAAUGGUCACUUUACAUGACUUUUCCCUUGAGUUAUGCUUCUAAAAAAAAACCCGGUCGGGCAAUAUAGUAAAACUAUGGAGUUUUUUUUAAUUAAAAAGGGAGCGACAAGUCGAAGUCGGUGAAGAGAAAAAAGAUCGAUUAUAUUAAGUUACCGCGAUUAGCCAGGUGUGUACAUAUUACGCGUGUCUUUAUAAGACUUCCAGGGCAGGGUUCAUUUCCAUUUGGUUGUAUAACGCGUUUACUGCAAUAGGUUAUGUUCUAGG
rnacentral:misc_RNA from 1 species